UACGGAGGGAUCUAGCGUUAUUCGGAAUAACUGGGCGUAAAGCGAGCGUAGGCGGAUUUGUAAGUUGGAGGUGAAAUCCCAGGGCUUAACCCUGGAACUGCCUUCAAAACUACAUUUCUUGAGUUUGGUAGAGGAGAGUGGAAUUCCUAGUGUAGAGGUGAAAUUCGUAGAUAUUAGGAGGAACACCAGUGGCGAAGGCGACUCUCUGGGCCAAUACUGACGCUGAGGUUCGAAAGCGUGGGGAGCAAACGGG
rnacentral:rRNA from 1 species